rnacentral:rRNA from 1 species
CAUCCGCCGCGGUAAAACGGAGGGUGCGAGCGUUAAUCGGAAUUACUGGGCGUAAAGCGUACGCAGGCGGUUCGUUAAGUCUGUUGUGAAAGCCCCGGGCUCAACCUGGGAAUGGCAAUGGAUACUGGCGAGCUAGAGUAUGGGAGAGGAUGGUAGAAUUCCAGGUGUAGCGGUGAAAUGCGUAGAGAUCUGGAGGAAUACCGAUGGCGAAGGCAGCCAUCUGGCCUAAUACUGACGCUGAGGUACGAAAGCAUGGGGAGCAAACAGGAUUAGAUACCCCUGUAGUCCCUGUCUCUUAUAC